rnacentral:tRNA from 1 species
GUGGCUCAGCGGUAGAGCGCUCACCUAGCACGUGUGAGGCCCUGGGUUCGAUCCUCAGC